GUGGGGAAUAUUGGACAAUGGGCGAAAGCCUGAUCCAGCCAUGCCGCGUGUGUGAAGAAGGUCUUCGGAUUGUAAAGCACUUUAAGUUGGGAGGAAGGGCAGUAAGUUAAUACCUUGCUGUUUUGACGUUACCAACAGAAUAAGCACCGGCUAACUUCGUGCCAGCAGCCGCGGUAAUACGAAGGGUGCAAGCGUUAAUCGGAAUUACUGGGCGUAAAGCGCGCGUAGGUGGUUUUGUAAGUUGGAGGUGAAAUACCCGGGCUCAACCUGGGAACUGCCUCCAAAACUGCAGGACUAGAGUACGGUAGAGGGUAGUGGAAUUUCCUGUGUAGCGGUGAAAUGCGUAGAUAUAGGAAGGAACACCAGUGGCGAAGGCGACUACCUGGACUGAUACUGACACUGAGGUGCGAAAGCGUGGGGAGCAAACAGGAUUAGAAACCCCAGUAGUCC
rnacentral:rRNA from 1 species